rnacentral:lncRNA from 1 species
UCAAUAAUUUUAAAAAAAGAUAUUGGUAUUAGAAGUUUAGUAUUUUAAUUGAAAUAGGAGGCUAUCUAAUACUCAAUUGGAUUAUAUUCAAUUUCUUUCAAUUGAUAAGUGCAAUCAAUUUCAUCUUUCUUUUGCUUGUUUCUAAUCAAGAUAUUGAAAAGUAUAAAUUUUUUUAAUUGAUAUCAAUAAUUUAAUCAUUAGUUGUUGAGGUUCUAUUCAGCUACUAGAUUUAUUAAGAGUUUGUUUAAGAUCUAAGAUUUCAUUAGGAUUUGAUUUAGGAUUUAUCUAAAAUUUGAUUAGGAUUUAAGAUUUGGUUUAGGAUUUGAUUAGGAUUAGGAUUUGGUUAGGAUUUUGUUUAGAACUUGAUUAGAAUUUAAUUAAGAUUUGUUGAAAUUUCAGAUUUUAUUAGGAUUUCAACUAAGGUUUAUCCUAGGGCUUGGUUAAGAUUUA